UGAACGCUGGCGGUAUGCCUAACACAUGCAAGUCGUACGAGGGUUUUUAACUCUAGUGGCGGACGGGUGAGUAACACGUGAGAAUUUGCCUUUAGGAGGGGGAUAACAAUCGGAAACGAAUGCUAAUACCCCACUAUGCUUUUGUAGUGAAAUGGAUUUAUCCGCCUAAAGAGAAGCUCGCGGCUGAUUAGCUUGUUGGUAAGGUAAGAGCUUACCAAGGCGACGAUCAGUAUCUGGUUUGAGAGGACGACCAGCCACACUGGGACUGAGACACGGCCCAGACUCCUACGGGAGGCAGCAGUGGGGAAUUUUGGACAAUGGGCGAAAGCCUGAUCCAGCAAUGCCGCGUGUGUGAAGAAGGCCU
rnacentral:rRNA from 1 species